UACGUAGGGGGCAAGCGUUGUCCGGAUUUAUUGGGCGUAAAGAGCGUGUAGGCGGCUUGGAAGGUCAGCUGUGAAAACUCGAGGCUCAACCUCGAGACGUCGGUUGAAACCACCUGGCUAGAGUCCGGAAGAGGAGUGUGGAAUUCCCGGUGUAGCAGUGAAAUGCGUAGAUAUGCGGAGGAACACCGAUGGCGAAGGCAAUCCCCUGGGCCUGCACUGACGCUCAUGCACGAAAGCGUGGGGAGCAAACAGG
rnacentral:rRNA from 1 species